rnacentral:misc_RNA from 1 species
AACGCACCUUGCACCCUUUGGUCUUCCAAAAGGGUAUGCUCGUUUGAGUGUCAUUGUACUCUCACACUCCUCUCUUAUUGAGAGGAGUAGUGGACUUGGAUGUUGCCGCUUCAAUGUCAGGCUCAUCUCAAAUCGCUUAGUGUAACUCUAGAUUGGACAUAAGUAACAUGUUUACUACACAGCGUGAUAAGUAUCCUCGCUAGUGUGCCUCCCAAGCGCGGGAGGGUGUCUAAUGGACGGGCUCUGCGCUUCAAACCGUCUUUUGACAAAUCUCUGACAAGUUGGCCUCAAAUCGAGUAGGAUUACCCGCUGAACUUAA